rnacentral:rRNA from 1 species
UUGAACGCUGGCGGCCGGCCUAACACCUGCCAGUCGCACGGUAACAGGAAGAAGCUUGCUUCUUUGCUGACGAGUGGCGGACGGGUGAGUAAUGUCUGGGAAACUGCCUGAUGGAGGGGGAUAACUACUGGAAACGGUAGCUAAUACCGCAUAACGUCGCAAGACCAAAGAGGGGGACCUUCGGGCCUCUUGCCAUCGGAUGGGCCCAGAUGGGAUUAGCUAGUAGGUGGGGUAACGGCUCACCUAGGCGACGAUCCCUAGCUGGUCUGAGAGGAUGACCAGCCACACUGGCACUGAGACACGGUCCAGACUCCUACGGGAGGCAGCAGUGGGGAAUAUUGCACAAUGGGCGCAAGCCUGAUGCAGCCAUGCCGCGUGUAUGAAGAAGGCCUUCGGGUUGUAAAGUACUUUCAGCGGGGAGGAAGGGAGUAAAGUUAAUACCUUUGCUCAUUGACGUUACCCGCAGAAGAAGCACCGGCUAACUCCGUG